GACGAACGCUGGCGGCGUGCUUAACACAUGCAAGUCGAACGAAAAGACGGAAAGAGCUUGCUCUUUUCAGAAUUGAGUGGCAAACGGGUGAGUAACACGUAAACAACCUGCCUUCAGGAUGGGGACAACAGACGGAAACGAUUGCUAAUACCGAAUAAGUUCCAAGAGCCGCAUGGCCCAUGGAAGAAAAGGUGGCCUCUACCUGUAAGCUAUCGCCUGAAGAGGGGUUUGCGUCUGAUUAGCUGGUUGGAGGGGUAACGGCCCACCAAGGCGACGAUCAGUAGCCGGUCUGAGAGGAUGAACGGCCACACUGGAACUGAGACACGGUCCAGACUCCUACGGGAGACAGCAGUGGGGAAUCUUCCGCAAUGGGCGAAAGCCUGACGGAGCAACGCCGCGUGAGUGAUGACGGCCUUCGGGUUGUAAAACUCUGUGAUCCGGGACGAAAAGGCAGAGUGCGAAGAACAAACUGCAUUGACG
rnacentral:rRNA from 1 species